CCUACGGGAGGCAGCAGUGAGGAAUAUUGGUCAAUGGGCGAGAGCCUGAACCAGCCAAGUCGCGUGAGGGAGUACUGCCCUAUGGGUUGUAAACCUCUUUUGCCGGGGAGCAAAAGCCGGACGUGUCCGGCUGUGAGAGUACCCGAAGAAAAAGCAUCGGCUAACUCCGUGCCAGCAGCCGCGGUAAUACGUAGGUGGCAAGCGUUGUCCGGAUUUACUGGGUGUAAAGGGCGUGUAGCCGGGCUGACAAGUCAGAUGUGAAAUCCGGGGGCUCAACCCCCGAACUGCAUUUGAAACUGUUGGUCUUGAGUAUCGGAGAGGCAGGCGGAAUUCCUAGUGUAGCGGUGAAAUGCGUAGAUAUUAGGAGGAACACCAGUGGCGAAGGCGGCCUGCUGGACGACAACUGACGGUGAGGCGCGAAAGCGUGGGGAGCAAACAGGAUUAGAUACCCUAGUAGUC
rnacentral:rRNA from 1 species